GCACCCUUAGCUCAAUGGUGGAGCAGCUGACUCUUAAUCAGUAGGUUCUAGGUUCGAGUCCUAGAGGGUGCA
rnacentral:tRNA from 1 species